rnacentral:rRNA from 1 species
GCGGAGGAAAAGAAACUAACAAGGAUUCCCCUAGUAACUGCGAGUGAAGCGGGAAAAGCUCAAAUUUAAAAUCCUUCGGGAGUUGUAAUCUAUAGAAGUGUUUUCGGUCGUUGCCUCGGACAAGUCUCUUGGAACAGAGCGUCAUAGAGGGUGAGAAUCCCGUCCUUGCCGAGCUCCCAACGUCUAUGUGAUACACUUUCAAAGAGUCGAGUUGUUUGGGAAUGCAGCUCAAAAUGGGUGGUAAACUCCAUCUAAAGCUAAAUAUUGGCGAGAGACCGAUAGCGAACAAGUACCGUGAGGGAAAGAUGAAAAGCACUUUGGAAAGAGAGUUAAACAGUACGUGAAAUUGUUGAAAGGGAAGCGCUUGGAGUCAGUCGCGUUGCAAGGACUCAGCCUCACGGUGUAUUUCUUUGCAACGGGUCAACAUCAGUUUCGACCGCGGAAAAAGGGCUUGGGGAAUGUGGCAACCUCGGUUGUGUUAUAGCCCCCUGUCGUACGCCGCGGUUGGGACUGAGGUCUGCUUACAGGAUGUUGACGAAAUGGCUCUAAGCGACCCGUCU